UUGCCCUUCAAUCCAAACUUAAACAACU
rnacentral:sRNA from 1 species